CAUAUAAAGAAUGUAUAGGCUUAUGAGUCAGGUGUUCUCCCUCCCAGGUCCUCCCUCUGAAGCAGGGAUGAACGGGACAGUUUUCGCUGGGUCCCAGGUUGUAGAGGGGGAUGUUGCUGUGAGGCCCAGGGCCGCUAGGACAGUGUCCAUUUCCGAAAUGUCCGCCACCUUAUAUUCAGUGUCUUGGUACUGAAUGAGGAGUACAUGCAUAGGACCCCAGCGGUACUUCACUCC